rnacentral:rRNA from 1 species
UACGUAGGGUGCGAGCGUUAAUCGGAAUUACUGGGCGUAAAGCGCGCGCAGGCGGCUAAUUAAGUCAAAUGUGAAAUCCCCGAGCUUAAACUUGGGAAUUGCAUUCGAUACUGGUUAGCUAGAGUGUGGGAGAGGAUGGUAGAAAUUCCAGGUGAGCGGUGAAAUGCGUAGAGAUCGGAGGAAUACCGAUGGCGAAGGCAGCCAUCUGGCCUAACACUGACGCUCAGGCACGAAAGCGUGGGGAGCAACAGG